GCUCCCGUAGCAAAGUGGCAAUGCGUCGUGCUUAUAACGCGAAGGUCGCGAGUUCGAUCCUCGCCGGGAGCA
rnacentral:tRNA from 1 species